GACGAACGCUGGCGGCGUGCCUAACACAUGCAAGUCGAACGGAGUGGCGAACGGGUGAGUAACACGUGGGUGAUCUGCCUUGCACUUCGGGAUCCGCUUGGGAAACUGGGUCCAAUACCGGAUAGUGCAAGAUGGGCGGGGGGCCUAUCAGCUUGUUGGUGGGGUAAUGGCCUACCAAGGGGUCGACGGGUAGCCGGCCUGAGAGGGUGUACGGCCACAGUGGGACUGAGAUACGGACCAGACUCCAACGGGAGGCAGCAGUGGGGAAUAUUGCACAAUGGGCGGAAGCGUGAGGCAGCGACGCCGGGUGGGGGAUGAAGGUCUUCGGGUUGUAAACUCCUGUCGACAGGGACGCGGUACCUGUAGAAGAAGCACCGGCUAACUACGUGCCAGCAGCCGCGGUAAUUC
rnacentral:rRNA from 1 species